rnacentral:lncRNA from 1 species
GUUCCAGCACCUCUGAUAUUACCUCACAUGGCAAGAGGGCUUUGAAGAUGUGAUUGAGUCAAGGAUCUUGAAUGGGGAGAUUAUCCUGAAUUAUUCAGCUGGACCCAGUGUAAUCACAAAGGUUUUUCAAAGAUGGAAGAGAGGCAGAAGAGCCAGAAAAGGAUAUGUGACAAUGGAGUCAGUGUCAGAGUUGGAGUGACGUGAUGUGAGAAGGAUUCAACCUGCUGUUUCUGGCUUUGAGGAUGAAAGAAGGGGCCAUGAGCCAAGCAAUACAGGUGGCUUCUUUCAAGAAGUUGGAAAAGUGGUAAUAUUUUAUGUUAUUUUGGUUUGAUUUUUGUUUGUGGCAUAUGGCUCUGCUGUCCUGUGACUCUAAGUAGAAGAGAAAAUAGUGCCAAUAAUUCUUCAUGGAGAUGCACCUCUCUCAAGUCUUGAACAAUGUUUGAGGAAAAGUGCUUUCAGCUGGGCUGAUGAGAACACCUUGGCACUCUUUCCUGCAAUGGGCACUGAUUGAGGGUCUUCCUGGUGUGGCAUCAUCAAAUCCCUGUUGCUCAAACCCACUAAUUAGCUCAUUCUUAUCUACAAGUAGCAGGGGCCCUAAAGCUCUCUGAGAAGAUCUCAUACUGUGUCUCCUACAUUUCAUCUUCUAUAAUCUCUUAUUCUUAGAGACAGAAAGAUGGUUAAAAGACAUCACUUCAUUUCUUUCUCUGGAUUUGGAAAGAGUUAUAUAUUGGGAUUAUGCUGUUAGUUUACACUUGCAUUGUUUAAAUUAGAGGAAAGGUUAUUUUGUGCAGAACAAAUAAAAAUUACUCUUUAACUACCUUUCAGAAUAUCCCAACUUUUAACAUAAGCUGUUUUGUAAAGGCUGGUUGUAGUGACUUGCUUCAUAAUAGACUAUUAAAAUAAGAUGCAUUGAAA